rnacentral:lncRNA from 1 species
AUCUGCUACUCUGAGUGGCUCCGAGCAGCCCCAAAAGGUCCGAAUGGAUUCUGGGACGGUGAGGGCACUCUCGUGUGCUGCCUCACCAGGGCACAAUCCUUUGGUGGUAACCACAUCCUCAAAUGGUCACUGAAGAGAUGCAGGGAUAAUGGGUUACAAAGACAGACAUUAAUAAGGUUGGACAUGCAGAGUUGCUGAGAAUUAGCACCUGUGUUUCUGCAGAAGCAAAUCCUCAGGAGAACUGUCACA